rnacentral:lncRNA from 1 species
AAUGCAUUUUAAACACGGAGAGCUACUUCAGUGUUAUUGGUUUCACCGGUUGUGCCGGCACCGAGGGCUGUGGUUGCCCAAUCUGUCAUAGUUAAUCAACUCUCAUCUCUUAACACUGGCUGCAGUUAUCAAUGAGGAAAAGAAUGUCUCAUGCGUGACCCAGCCUUCCAGGAGCUUACAUUUGCCUCCUCUUGCAGCUGCAGAUUUACAUGCAAUAUGCUAAGAUGGAAAUAAUGCUUUAAAAAAGAAAACACACAAUCAUUUUGCGGAAGACUUGAGAAAAACGUUUUCAGCUUAAAGAGAAAAAAGCAGUGAGACCCCUUCGGCGUCUGUGCAAAACUGUUUGCUUGGCUCUGGAGGUGAUAAAAAUAAUUUAUGAAGCUCUACAUUUUUAGCAAGAGGAAAUGACCUCAGCUUUUGGCAAUCUGAUGCAGUUAGUGAAGCCUCUCUCUACUACUUUUAUGGAUUUCCUUGAGCUGCAUAUUCUGUGACCUGUAUUUCAGAUUUAUUGGCAGAUACAUAAGCCACAUUAAGUAACAUAAAAUGCAGUGAAUGCAUCAAACAACUCAGCGGGGACCGACUGACAGCGGGCGAGAGGCUGCCUCUUCGAAGAAGUCAUUCCGAAUCUGAUACCUGUUUAUGCAUUUGUCUAACCAGGCUCUGGAUUUUUAUUUUAAAUAAAGACAUUAUUUCAAAACAAAA